rnacentral:rRNA from 1 species
AGUGAACGCUGGCGGUAGGCCUAACACAUGCAAGUCGAACGGCAGCACAGUAAGAGCUUGCUCUUACGGGUGGCGAGUGGCGGACGGGUGAGGAAUACAUCGGAAUCUACUCUUUCGUGGGGGAUAACGUAGGGAAACUUACGCUAAUACCGCAUACGACCUACGGGUGAAAGCAGGGGAUCUUCGGACCUUGCGCGAUUGAAUGAGCCGAUGUCGGAUUAGCUAGUUGGCGGGGUAAAGGCCCACCAAGGCUACGAUCCGUAGCUGGUCUGAGAGGAUGAUCGGCCACACUGGAACUGAGACACGGUCCAGACUCCUGCGGGAGGCAGCAGUGGGGAAUAUUGGGCAAUGGGCGCAAGCCUGAUCCAGCCAUACCGCGUGGGUGAAGAAGGCCUUCGGGUUGUAAAGCCCUUUUGUUGGGAAAGAAAAGCAGCAGGUUAAUACCCCGCUGUUCUGACGGUACCCAAAGAAUAAGCACCGGCUAACUUCGUG